rnacentral:tRNA from 1 species
GAUGGCCGAGCGGUCCAAGGCGCUGGUUUUAGGCACCUGUCCCUUCCGGGGCGUGAGUUCGAAUCCCACUC